rnacentral:rRNA from 1 species
CCCAACCCUAGAGAUAGGCGUUUCCUUCGGGAACGCAAUGACAGGUGUGCAUGUCGUCUCACUCGUGUCGUGAGAUGUUGGGUUAAGUCCCCAACGAGCAACCCUUGUUCUAGUUGCCAGCAGUCAGUUGGGCGUCUAGUGAGACUGCCGGUGACAAACCGGAGGAAGGUGGGGACGACGUCAGUCAUCAUGCCCCUUAUGACCUGGGCUACACACGUGCUACAAUGGACGGUACAACGAGUUGCGAACUCGCGAGAGUAAGCUAAUCUCUUAAAGCCGUUCUCAGUUCGGACUGUAGGCUGCAACUCGCCUACACGAAGUCGGAAUCGCUAGUAAUCGCGGAUCAGCAUGCCGCGGUGAAUACGUUCCCGGGCCUUGUACACACCGCCCGUCACACCAUGGGAGUCUGCAAUGCCCAAAGCCGGUGGCCUAACUUCGGGAAGGAGCCGUCUAAGGCAGGGCAGAUGACUGGGGUGAAGUCGUAACAAGGUUCCAAUC